AGCCGAUUAGCUCAGAUGGAACAAGAGCGGCGGAUUUCUAAUCCGCAGGUCGUCGGUUCAAGUCCGACAUCGGCUA
rnacentral:tRNA from 1 species